AUAAUUAAGAGUUUGAUCCUGGCUCAGGACGAACGCUGGCGGCGCGCCUAACACAUGCAAGUCGAACGGAGACACUCUGUUCACCGAGCGGUGGGGGCGGCUGAAAGGAGUCG
rnacentral:rRNA from 1 species